GCUGGAUGCUGUGGUGCAUGCCUGUAAUCCCAGCAACUUGGGAGGCUGAGGUAGGAGGAUUGCAAGUUCAAGGUCAGCCUGGGCAACUUAGUGAGAUCCUGUUUCAA
rnacentral:sRNA from 1 species